AACUGCCUGAGUCUGAUCAUAGUACCUGGAGAGAGCCUGAAUCUUAAGUCACAGGGUCAUGUGUGUCCUCUCCCACCCCCCAGCAGCCUACCAGUGGUGAUGUCUAUGUGCUGAAUGUAAUGGCCUGGAUGGCACUUCCAUUAUAGAAUCCAUGUGGUGAGAAUUAUCUGCAUCCCUAUUGCUUUCCUGCAAUUUAUAGAGUUGGAAGUUGUUCAAAAACAGUGAGAGUGGAGAUGCCAAAUAGCCAGAUACUCUCUGUGAUGUUAAUCUUGUCAGCUAAGAGAUAUGUCUGUGAGGAUAUUUCCUGGAAGCAUAAACUGGGGGUGGAGGAAAAAAGUACCCUCCCUACCGCUGUGGACAUUGCCUUGUCAUGACAGCCCAGACAUAGAAAGGUCCAAGGGAAAAGCAAUGGUGCUUCUGUCUACUCAACCUUCCUUCUUGCUGCUGAGUGCAUCUGUAUUGUCACAGCAGCUUCUUUGGCUUUCCAGUGUGAAGCAAGUAUACCAGUUGUCUCCAAGAAUCCUACAGGCCUCCAGCACCAGCUUGGAACAAGUGAGGGACCCAGCUUUAUGGAGUGAGCAGCUGCUGGCUUUUUUCCCACUCCAGUACACACAGGGCCAUUAUUGGACCACCUACCCCAUAGCAAGCAUGUAAACCAAAUCUUAAGAAUAUCCACUUAGAGUAUAGACUCAUACUAUUGUUUCUGUCCCUGACUGAUACACUGUCCCAGAGGAUCUGUUUGAAACCAAGUUUUCCCACUCUCCUUUUGGGGUUGGUAACUUUGUAUUGGAGGGCUGCAGACAGUGGCAAACCACCAGAGAGUCAGGUCCAAACAAUGCCCAGCUGAAGGGAGUUAACAAUCCUGUCCAUUUUCAAGUCUUCUACAGUUUUACCAGAGAAAGAGAAAUUCAAGGACGUUCAGCAUUUAUCUAAGACCGCACCUCUUUGAGGUGGUAGAAUUGACCUCCACAUAAUUUCCAACCCCAGAACACAUUUCUCUCCAUCUCAUCUCUAUGAAAACAGAGUUGGUGAUAUUUGGUUCCUUCCGUGCCGUGAUGCUUGAACAAUUACAAUCCAGGUACUCUUCAUCUUCCUCUGCUUCAUGUUAUUAAUUGAGGAACUCAAUUAAGACUCCAAGGGUCUUGAAAAAUGAUGACUAUCUUCACUCCAAUCCCUCAAACUGAAGAUGUCACCACACAAGGAAUAUCAAGGCUUAGGUGAGUGAGGGCCUUAUAGCUUCACAUAAAUCAGCACCAUUAUUUUCUAGUUCUCCAUCUUUACAUCCUUUAGCAGAGCAGAGUUCCAGAGAUGUCAGAAAAGACUAACACUGACUCAUUACAUUAAUAUUUUUUAUCCUGAUGCAUGAAUAAAUUUCCCUUGGAGAUGAAAAGUCAGUUGGCACAUUCCAGGGUUGCUAUGGAAAGAUUCUGACUGACAGUCCAGUGGCAACUGUACUCAGCACCCGGAUCUUAGUUCCUAAAUAUCAAGUCCCCAGUGAAACAAACUAAGGCUUUGUAGAUGCCUCUCAAUGUGGAACAAAACAGAGAGCCCUGGAAGGGGCUCAGGGAUCAGGCAAAAAAAAACCAGAUUCUGGAACCAGUUAGAGAUGUUCCCAGGGCUGAGACAAAUUGAGCAACGGAAAGAAUGGUGACUCUUGUUUAGGCACAGCACAGUGAAUUCAUGAGUCCAUAGUGUUACAGACAGCAGAAGGACACCAAAGAACCCAGAGGUGUCAGUGGCAGGAGGAACAUUUUUCAUUAAAAAAAAUGGCAGCCACCAGUCAGAAGUGAAGGGAGCAUGCAUUGAAGAUGGAGUCUACAGCUUGCCUGUGUGAUCUAGCUUGAAGAGUUCAUUUAAUCACCACAGUAAUGAUGGAAUAGAUACAAGUCUGUGUGUCUGUAUUUGGAGUACUAGGAUGACACCUCAGUGCAAGGACACUCGAAUAGCCUGGGUGAGUCCCUGAAUCUGAUUCUAGCAUUACAAACGCCUAAUGCAUCUAUUAGGAUUUCUUGAGCGAACUUUUAGGUUCUGAUAAAAGAGACUUGGAAGCUCAUUAUACACUUUCAUUGUGCAUACCUUUUAUGUCCACCUAGGUCUCUGUGUUUAGUAGUGUGCAUGUGUGGGUAGUUUAAUCUUAUUUAGACUUUUUUCUUAUUCUUUGAGAAUUUCAUACGUGAGUACAAAACACCUUGAUCACAUCCACCCCUCACCACCAACUCCUCAUGAUCUUCCUCCUCUGAAAUUCAUGCCCCCUGUCUUCCAGUCAUUUAAGCAUGUAACCUGCUGGAUUCAAUUGAUGUUGUCCAUAGGCACAUGGGUGUGUGGCUGACCCCAUGCCCAUCCUUCAAAAACUAUUGACAGCCUAUACUCUUCCACAGAAACUGCAGUUGAAUCUCUGACUUCUUAUAGUCAUUCUCCUGACACUUUCACCCUACUCCCUGAGCCUGAGGGAAGAGGCUGUGUUGUGGAUGACCCGUUUGGAGAUGGGCACUCCAUAGUUCCCUGUUGUUUGCAGUUCUCCGCAAAACCCUCAGUACUCUGCAGAAAGACGCUUCUCCAAUGAGGGCUGAGAACUGCACUUAUCGGAUGGGUGUAAGGAUAAGUACUUAGAAGGUAGGAGGAUUCUAUAUCAGUUUAUCAAAAUGGCAGUUUAAUUAUACUUCAGCGGUUGUGAUUUUAAAGUAUGUUCUAUGCUGAAAUGAAUUAUUCCUAUCUUCCCGUGCAUACUUUGUCUCCUUCCACUGGAUAAAUAUUGAGAAACAGAAUACCCAAUUCAAAGGACAGUUUUAGUAUCCAUUUUCCAGUUUUAGUGCAGAUUUCCAAGAAAUGACGUACUGAUACCUCCCUCUGCAGUUAGCUUGCAGACUUGGUGGUUUAUUCACAGUAGCCAUCAUGUUAGCUGCUAUCCACUGGGCACCUGCACCAUGCUCCAUAUCUCAUAGACAUGUUUCUCCAUAGUCCUCAUCAGCAACUUUCCAAUGCUUCCAAUAUUUUUCCAUAUGAACAAGGGACACCAGGCUCCGAGGGGCCCAGUCAUCCAGAGUUACAAUGGGGAACAAAUGUGCUGGAAUGUGAAGUUAUUUCCUUCAGUCUCUGGAGCACAUUCUCUUUUUCUCUUGGCUGAGCAACCUCCCACACGGUUCUGGAAACAGGGUCUCAUUUCCUGUGACUUUGAUGGGGGAUGUUCUUCUGUAUGUGACUUGGUGUUUCUCCAUGUUUAAUUUUCACAAAUGACAGUUCACCCUUUCCUCAGGAGAGGGAGUAACUUGUUUUCUCAUCCUGCCUGGAUCCUGUUUCCCAUGAAGUUGGCUGCAUCCAACUCUGCCUUCCACUCCCACGGUGCAUAUGCAAACACUCAUGUGUACUUUUGCUCCCUGGGGGCAGACACAAAUGCACCCACACCUGAUGCCUCUGAUUCCAAUCUAAAAUCAUAUGUUUCUGUCUUGUCCAUGGCAUUAUCUUAGGAAAGACCCCUGUUCUUCAAAACAUCCUAUGUUUAGUUCUAUACUUAGCCUGGAAAUAUAAUAUCUUGAUACUAAUAUUGACAACUUUACAUCUUGUUGAAUUGCUUGCUUUUAUUUUAUGUUCUUAGCCUUCUUCAGCUGGGGGGGUGAUAUUCUGAAAACUUAGAUUCUUCAUUCCUUUUGCAUGGUUACAUUAUCAAUUUUAUGCACAGUUUGUUAGUUUGUUUCCAUAUAUAUUUUAAUCUCUUUCCCAAAACUAAAAACUAUGCCAAAUAGAAAUCUUAUUUCUUUUAUCCUUCUAGUUUUUAUCAUUCUGCUCUUA